rnacentral:rRNA from 1 species
UGACGAGUUUGAUCCUGGCUCAGGAUGAACGCUAGCGGCAGGCUUAACACAUGCAAGUCGAGGGGUAAGGUAGCAAUAUCUGAGACCGGCGCACGGGUGCGUAACGCGUAUGCAAUCUACCUUUUGCAGAGGGAUAGCCCAGAGAAAUUUGGAUUAAUACCUCAUAGUGUUAUUGAAUGGCAUCAUUUACUAACUAAAGUUCCAACGGUAAAAGAUGAGCAUGCGUCCCAUUAGCUAGAUGGUAAGGUAACGGCUUACCAAGGCUACGAUGGGUAGGGGUCCUGAGAGGGAGAUCCCCCGACACUGGUACUGAGACACGGACCAGACUCCGUACGGGAGGCAGCAGUGAGGAAUAUUGGACAAUGGACGAAAGUCUGAUCCCAGCCCAUGCCCGCG